rnacentral:rRNA from 1 species
GUAAAAUACAUCUGUUAGCAAGGGCCGGGCAAGACCGGUGCCAGCCGCCGCGGUAACACCGGCGGCCCGAGUGGUGAUCGUGAUUAUUGGGUCUAAAGGGUCCGUAGCCGGUUUGGUCAGUCCUCCGGGAAAUCUGACGGCUCAACCGUUAGGCUUUCGGUGGAUACUGCCAGACUUGGAACCGGGAGAGGUAAGAGGUACUACAGGGGUAGGAGUGAAAUCUUGUAAUCCCUGUGAGACCACCUGUGGCGAAGGCGUCUUACCAGAACGGGUUCGACGGUGAGGGACGAAAGCUGGGGGCACGAACCGGAUUAGAUACCCGGGUAGUCCCAGCCGUAAACGAUGCUCGCUAGGUGUCAGGCAUGGCGCGACCGUGUCUGGUGCCGCAGGGAAGCCGUGAAGCGAGCCACCUGGGAAGUACGGCCGCAAGGCUGAAACUUAAAGGAAUUGGCGGGGGAGCACAACAACGGGUGGAGCCUGCGGUUUAAUUGGACUCAACGCCGGACAACUCACCGGGGACGACAGCAAUAUGUAGC